GCCUUGUACACACCGCCCGUCAAGCCAUGGAAGCUGGGGGUACCUGAAGUCGGUAACCGCAAGGAGCUGCCUAGGGUAAAACCGGUAACUGGGGCUAAGUCGUAACAAGGUAGCCGUACCGGAAGGUGCGGCUGGAAUAUCUCUUUUCUAGAG
rnacentral:rRNA from 1 species